rnacentral:lncRNA from 1 species
GCCUAACAGAGAACCGUUUGCCGGAACAGCAUGACAUCUCCUGGAAUGAAAGCUCUCUCUCCCCUUCACUCCUCCUCUCUCUCUCACACACACUCUUCCUCUCUCUCACACAGACUGUCGCUAUCGCUCUCCCUCUCUCUCUGUCUCUCUAUGGUAUCUCUGUCUCCGGUCCUGUUCUUCUCUACUGGUGUCUGAAGCAAGGAUGUCCACGUGUAAUUUUUCAUGGGAUGUUCAAAGUUUUCUUUAAACAAACACCGUUAAUGAAGCUGACAUCUGCAGGAAACCAACAACUAAAUGAAUGCAAGAAGCAACAUCCCAUCUCAGCCUUCCCACUGUCAGUCACACACAGCAUCUCAAAGACAAUACCCAGCCACCACAGGCAGGCACGCCGGACGGGUAGUGUCUACUGAAGCCUUCCAACCACCAGUCAGUGUUGUCAAGGCGAUAUACAGUUGAUGUGCUGUAAAUUGAUUUCCGGGGAGAUGUGAUGGAUGAAUGGAAAAUGAACAUCUUCAUCGGUGACCCCUCCGCGCCGUCGUCUCGAUUGCUUCUCCCCACGCCCGCCCAUGAUUGACAAGCGCGCUAACGAGCGCUGUCGCCGGUCAUGUUCUAAUUUCCCUGUGUGGAAAACACGGCGAGUCUCCGGCCCUACGGUAAUGAGCCCUACAAAGAGAAGGAGAGGACAGAAAGAAAGACUCGCCCCGAAGAGAUGGAAGACGGAAUGAAAGAAGUCCAAGUAAAUAAGAUAGAAAGGACCAACAUGAAAGUAGAUUAAAAAAGUUGAGAUUAUUACCGGCAAGGGAAAGGGGCAUGUCAUUGUUUAUCUGUCUUCUACUGUGAUGGAUGUCUUUCUUACUGGCGGUUUCAGCUACAACCUCAACUUAAUGGAUUCCUAGAGUGGGCUGGGAUUUCAAAAGACAAAAUGAGUCUUGGCGUAAUGAGCGGAUGUUAUAUAUUUGAUAUAUUGUAAUUGAUAUAGAGUGGCAGAGUGUGGUCCUCAUUGGACUUUAACGUCUCCUUCAACGCAGACGAGAGCUUCCUUCUAACUUUACUGUUGAACACAAACACCAAUCAAGGUGAUCACAAUUACAGGAAGACAAAGAGAGCAGACUUUUAAACUCUCAACUAAACUUAAUCGAUAUGAUGGAACGCAAGGUCAUAAAGCCAGGUAGCUACGUUUUAAGCACAAAGCUAUAUUGGCAUACCGAGUAGAGACAGAGAGUGUGUGAGAGAGAGUGUAAUGUUUACUGUUAAUUUGUAUUGUUUAUUAUCUACUUGACUUGCUUUGGAAAUGUUAACACAUGUUUCCCAUGCCAAUAAAGCCCUUGAAUUGAAAUUGAGAGAGAUGCAUGCAUGUAUACCUGUACAUACGUGUGUUUGAGUCAUGUCAUCUAUUCAUCCAGACGAGUAGUGAGGGUAUUAAAUCCGUGUUUACUUAGUGUGAUUAGGAGGUGGCGGGAUGUU